CCUACGGGUGGCAGCAGUAGGGAAUAUUGCUCAAUGGGGGAAACCCUGAAGCAGCAACGCCGCGUGGAGGAUGAAGGUUUUCGGAUUGUAAACUCCUUUUGUUAGAGAAGAUAAUGACGGUAUCUAACGAAUAAGCACCGGCUAACUCCGUGCCAGCAGCCGCGGUAAUACGGAGGGUGCAAGCGUUACUCGGAAUCACUGGGCGUAAAGAGCGCGUAGGCGGGAUAGCAAGUCAGAUGUGAAAUCCUAGGGCUUAACCAUAGAACUGCAUUUGAAACUGUUAUUCUAGAGUAUGGGAGAGGUAGGUGGAAUUCUUGGUGUAGAGGUAAAAUCCGUAGAGAUCAAGAGGAAUACUCAUUGCGAAGGCGACCUGCUAGAACAUAACUGACGCUGAUGCGCGAAAGCGUGGGGAGCAAACAGGAUUAGAUACCCCGGUAGUC
rnacentral:rRNA from 1 species